UGGGGAAUAUUGCGCAAUGGGCGAAAGCCUGACGCAGCGACGCCGCGUGAGGGAUGACGGCCUUCGGGUUGUAAACCUCUUUCAGCAGGGAAGAAGCGCAAGUGACGGUACCUGCAGAAGAAGCACCGGCUAACUACGUGCCAGCAGCCGCGGUAAUACGUAGGGUGCGAGCGUUGUCCGGAAUUAUUGGGCGUAAAGAGCUCGUAGGCGGCUUGUCACGUCGGAUGUGAAAACCCGGGGCUCAACCCCGGGCCUGCAUUCGAUACGGGCAGGCUAGAGUUCGGCAGGGGAGACUGGAAUUCCUGGUGUAGCGGUGAAAUGCGCAGAUAUCAGGAGGAACACCGGUGGCGAAGGCGGGUCUCUGGGCCGAUACUGACGCUGAGGAGCGAAAGCGUGGGGAGCGAACAGGAUUAGAUACCCUGGUAGUCCACGCCGUAAACGUUGGGCACUAGGUGUGGGCGUCAUUCCACGAUGUCCGUGCCGCAGCUAACGC
rnacentral:rRNA from 1 species